GACGAACGCUGGCGGCGUGCCUAAUACAUGCAAGUCGAGCGAGCGGCGGACGGGUGAGUAAUGUAUGGGGACUGCCCGAUAGAGGGGGAUAACUACUGGAAACGGUGGCUAAUACCGCAUACUAUCGGAAAACCCAUAUGUGAUUAGCUAGUAGGUGGGGUAAAGGCUCACCUAGGCGACGAUCUCUAGCUGGUAUGAGAGGAGGAUCAGCCACACUGAGACUGAGACACGGCCCAGACUCCUACGGAGGCAGAAGUGGGGAAUAUUGCACAAUGGGCGCAAGCCUGAUGCAGCCAUGCCGCGUGUAUGAAGAAGGCCUUAGGGUUGUAAAGUACUUUCAGCGGGGAGGCGUUACCCGCAGAAGAAGCACCGGCUAACUCCGUGCCAGCAGCCGCGGUAAUUC
rnacentral:rRNA from 1 species